rnacentral:rRNA from 1 species
GGAAUGCUUGGGAAUCUGCCUCGUAGUGGGGGAUAACGUUCCGAAAGGAACGCUAAUACCGCAUACGUCCUACGGGAGAAAGGGGGGGAUCUUCGGACCUCUCGCUAUGAGAUGAGCCCAAGCGGGAUUAGCUAGUUGGUGAGGUAAAGGCUCACCAAGGCUACGAUCCCUAGCUGGUCUGAGAGGAUGAUCAGCCACACUGGAACUGAGACACGGUCCAGACUCCUACGGGAGGCAGCAGUGGGGAAUAUUGGACAAUGGGCGAAAGCCUGAUCCAGCCAUGCCGCGUGUGUGAAGAAGGCCUUCGGGUUGUAAAGCACUUUAAGCGAGGAGGAAGGUUCGUUACUUAAUACGUAACGGAAUUGACGUUACUCGCAGAAUAAGCACCGGCUAACUCUGUGCCAGCAGCCGCGGUAAUACAGAGGGUGCAAGCGUUAAUCGGAAUUACUGGGCGUAAAGCGCGCGUAGGCGGUUGUGUAAGUUGGAGGUGAAAUCCCCGGGCUCAACCUGGGCAUUGCCUUCAAAACUGCACGGCUAGAGUAUGGGGGAGGAAGGUAGAAUUCCAGGUGUAGCGGUGAAACGCGUAGAGAUCUGGAGGAAUACCGAUGGCGAAGGCAGCCUUCUGGCCUAAUACUGACGCUGAGGUGCGAAAGCAUGGGGAGCAAACAGGAUUAGAUACCCUGGUAGUCCAUGCCGUAAACGAUGUCAACUAGGUGUUGGGGAACUUGAUUCCUUAGUGCCGCAGCUAACGCAUUAAGUUGACCGCCUGGGGAGUACGGUCGCAAGACUAAAACUCAAAUGAAUUGACGGGGGCCCGCACAAGCGGUGGAGCAUGUGGUUUAAUUCGAUGCAACGCGAAGAACCUUACCUACUCUUGACAUCCAGAGAAUCCUGUAGAGAUACGGGAGUGCCUUCGGGAAUUCUGAGACAGGUGCUGCAUGGCUGUCGUCAGCUCGUGUCGUGAGAUGUUGGGUUAAGUCCCGCAACGAGCGC